GACGAACCGUACGAACGUUAUUCGGAAUCACUGGGCUUAAAGGGUGCGUAGGCUGUGCAGAAAGUUGGGUGUGAAAUACCUCGGCUUAACCGAGGAACAGCACUCAGUACUACUGUGCUCGAGGGAGACAGAGGUAAGCGGAACUUAGGGUGGAGCGGUGAAAUGCGUUGAUAUCCUAAGGAACACCGGUGGCGAAAGCGGCUUACUGGGUCUCUUCUGACGCUGAGGCACGAAAGCUAGGGUAGCGAACGGG
rnacentral:rRNA from 1 species